ACGGGUGAGUAAUAUAUCGGAACAUACCCUAGAGUGGGGGAUAACGUAGCGAAAGUUACGCUAAUACCGCAUACGAUCUAAGGAUGAAAGCGGGGGAUCGCAAGACCUCGUGCUCAUGGAGUGGCCGAUAUCUGAUUAGCUAGUUGGUAGGGUAAAAGCCUACCAAGGCGACGAUCAGUAGCUGGUUUGAGAGAACGACCAGCCACACUGGAACUGAGACACGGUCCAGACUCCUACGGGAGGCAGCAGUGGGGAAUUUUGGACAAUGGGGGCAACCCUGAUCCAGCAAUGCCGCGUGAGUGAAGAAGGCCUUCGGGUUGUAAAGCUCUUUUGUCAGGGAAGAAACGGUGAGUUCUAAUACAACUUGCUAAUGACGGUACCUGAAGAAUAAGCACCGGCUAACUACGUGCCAGCAGCCGCGGUAAUACGUAGGGUGCAAGCGUUAAUCGGAAUUACUGGGCGUAAAGCGUGCGCAGGCGGUUUUAUAAGUCUGAUGUGAAAUCCCCGGGCUCAACCUGGGAACUGCAUUGGAGACUGUAAGGCUAGAGUGUGUCAGAGGGGGGUAGAAUUCCACGUGUAGCAGUG
rnacentral:rRNA from 5 species